rnacentral:lncRNA from 10 species
UUUUUGGAACUUAUGAUUUUUCAUCAGUGAAAUGAGAGGGCUGAGUGGAUAAUUCUGAACUGCAGUCAUUCUAGUUUUAAAAGACUAUGAUUCUAAUAAUGGGGCUAAGGCCACAGAAUGAUGGCUCCUGUCACUCUCAGACUCAGCCCUCUUCUUCUGAACUUUUUCCAGAACUCUUUCUGGAUCCAGAUGUCCACAGUUGGAGAUAUUUCCCUGGAAGCAACAUCGUAUAAUGGCUCCUCCACAGCUUCUUCUACAUGUUUAGUUGACAGCAGUAAUGUUGCCUCAGGGCCAAGCCUUUCUCCUGCUGAGGCUAUAAAUGGGUGUCUAAGCCACCAGCCCUGACUGGACAGUAUCUCCUUACACAUGCACGUGUGCUCUUGGAAUGGAGACACUUUUGAAUUCCAAAUUCCCUCCCUCUGUUAGAGAAAUUGCUCACCAAUAAUUCUGCUGACCUCCAAACAAGCCCUUUCCAGGGUGCCCAACCUCUUUCCUGCAUUUCAGCAGGCCAGAGGUGCUUCUCUGCUCUGCCAAGGCUGUGUUCAUCUGGUCACAGUGAGAAGACUUGGCGGGUUAAUUAGAUACUUCAGAUGGGGUGGGAAUCCUGCUGCUCAAGAUGAAGCAGAUUUGUAGGUGAAUUAGCCAGACUCCUCUGUGGAGGUUUAUUAUUAAGACCAGAACUUAAUAAUGCAUGUGUUGACAAACUGGAUCCAUCCUGGCCAGAACUCUGCCUCCAAGAGUAGCCCUGCAGGGCAUGUGGAGGGAAGAGUGUGACAGUUGCACAGCACAACAGUGUUGCCUCAAGAUCAACAUCCCAUUGUAAGCUGCCCUUUCUUCCCAUGCAGCUCAGCCAUGCUCAGCUAUAGUCGCACAGUAGAGGUUAUUUAGAACAAAGUGGAACUCCAGAGUCCAUUUAUUUGAAUGUAUUUCCAUUUCAAUUACCCUGCUUCAGAAGUUGCCUCUCCUUCCCAUCACAUAAGGUGAACAGAUGUGAUUUUAAGGACUUACUUCACAAACUCCUGCCCUUUUGUCCUUGAAGAUUCUUUCCUCUCAUUGUCUAAAACAAAUUGGCAAUACCCCAUUUGCUCCAUUGCACUUUCUCUUCUCAGUGCCUUCUGCUCACUUUUUUUCCCAGAAGGUUUAAGUCAUCCUCACGGUCAGCUUCCAAGGGAGCCAUGUUAUUGAGAACUAUUCUUAAGCCACGGUUUCUUUCCAGUAUGCUCUUCCACCCUGUCUUCAUCUAACCUCGGAAUAGAAGCU